UGAAGAAUAUUGCGCAAUGGGGCGACCCUGACGCAGCAACGCCGCGUGAAGGAUGAAGGUUUUCGGAUUGUAAACUUCUUUUAUCAAGGACGAAGGACGUGACGGUACUUGAUGAAUAAGCCACGGCUAACUACGUGCCAGCAGCCGCGGUAAUACGUAGGUGGCAAGCGUUAUCCGGAUUUACUGGGUGUAAAGGGCGAGUAGGCGGGCAGACAAGUCAGAUGUGAAAUCUGGGGGCUUAACCCCAAACUGCAUUUGAAACUGUAGGUCUUGAGUGAUGGAGAGGCAGGCGGAAUUCCCGGUGUAGCGGUGGAAUGCGUAGAUAUCGGGAGGAACACCAGUGGCGAAGGCGGCCUGCUGGACAUUAACUGACGCUGAGGAGCGAAAGCGUGGGGAGCAAACAGGAUUAGAUACCC
rnacentral:rRNA from 1 species